UACGUAGGGUGCGAGCGUUGUCCGGAAUUAUUGGGCGUAAAGAGCUUGUAGGCGGUUUGUCGCGUCUGCUGUGAAAAUCCGGGGCUCAACCCCGGACUUGCAGUGGGUACGGGCAGACUAGAGUGUGGUAGGGGAGACUGGAAUUCCUGGUGUAGCGGUGAAAUGCGCAGAUAUCAGGAGGAACACCAAUUGCGAAGGCAGCUCGCUGGGACGUUACUGACGCUGAGGAGCGAAAGCGUGGGGAGCGAACAGG
rnacentral:rRNA from 1 species